GGGGAUUUUAAGAAAGAAGCUGCCUGAGUAAAACUGCUUUAAGAACCGGUGGUUGGCAAGUGGUGCCGAAGAAACCCGGGACCCCCACCAAAGAGGUUCAGAACUUUCUGCAAUCAGGGUCUGUCAACAGGAUGAGUACGAGAUUUGAAGUUCACACCAUACAGAUUUUUCUGUUGCUUGGUUAGAGUCACACCAAGGUGAAACUAAUGAAUGACAAUAAACAGGGUCAAUUGCUAAAGGAGAAGAAUCACUGUGGAUGAUGAACUGAUGGCUGUACUGUAAAUAAUAUACAAUUCAUAUAGUAGCAUCUUCAGACAAGUGAGAAACACACUAAACCUGAAAUCAAAUGAUGAAUCAAGAAGCAGAAAAAGAAAUGCAUCAAGCUAAAAAUUAAAUGAC
ensembl:lincRNA